UGACGUUUGACUGCCUCAACUGCACUUUUCUGCCUCUUGCAAAAUGUAUUUACUUCAGUUAGCUAUGAAAUAUGAAGGUAGGGGUGGUAGUACUUAACCCAUCAUUUUUGACAGGCUAUAGUUGACAAUAAUUAUAGGCUUGCAUGAAUAAGUCACAUCUAACUAUAGUAUGCAAUAACAGAUACUCAUGAUGUCACACCAGUUAUUGACAACUAUAGUGUGUUUGGAGUUUCACAUAAAUCAAUCAUAUCUAAUUAUAGUAUGUAAUGACAGAUUCUCAUGACUUGAUGCCAAUUAUUGACAAUAAUUGUAGAUAAUUAUAGUUUAGAAGGAUGUCAUAAAGCACAAUUAUAGUGUAAAGAAAUAACAGUUGUGUGUGUAAUGACAAUAAUAGAAGAUAAUUAAAGAGUAAAAGCAGGACAUGAUGUUUUCAAUUUACUGUAGGAGACUUGAAUAGGGGUUUACAUUCAUUCUGUCUACAACUAGUUCAAGAGAGAGAGAGAGAGUUAACUUCAUAUAUCAUCUUCAUUAUGGAAAACAAAGGAGAACUGCUGGGCUUGUGAAAUCGAUUAUCUCAGUCAACAUUAAAGGUAUCUGGUUAUAUCUAUGGACUGCUCUGAGUCAAGUGGAUAAAAACAAAAUAGCAGUUUCCAACGAGAAGAAAGUAACAUCUGGACUGUUACACACCUUGUGAAGUAUGCCGUUGCUGACGAGACAUUUUGCCCAGUAUCAGAUAUAAAUGUGUUGGCUGGAAAUGAAGCAGGGUACAUACCUGGAGGAGCUGGAUUGUCCUGCCUAUAAAUGGUUAGUAACCCCAGUAAUAUGUCGUAAUUAUCAUAUGGAACCAGGCCAACAUUAUACUGCCAGGAAGGUUACUGCUAUUUACAGUUGGAUGUGCACCAACCCCCAAAUUCAACCACCAACUAAGCUUGUAC